rnacentral:rRNA from 1 species
CCUACGGGCGGCAGCAGUGAGGAAUAUUGGUCAAUGGACGAGAGUCUGAACCAGCCAAGUAGCGUGAAGGAUGACUGCCCUAUGGGUUGUAAACUUCUUUUAUAUGGGAAUAAAAUGUUCCACGUGUGGGAUUUUGUAUGUACCAUAUGAAUAAGGAUCGGCUAACUCCGUGCCAGCAGCCGCGGUAAUACGGAGGAACCGAGCGUUAUCCGGAUUUAUUGGGGUUAAAGGGGGCGGAGGGGGGAUGUUAAGUCAGGUGUGAAAGUUUGCGGCUCAACCGUAAAAUUGCAGUUGAAACUGGCAGUCUUGAGUACACUAGAGGUAUGCGGAAUUCGUGGUGUAGCGGUGAAAUGCUUAGAUGUCACGAAGAACUCCGAUUGCGAAGGCAGUACACUGGACUCCAACUGACACUGAGGCUCGAAAGUGUGGGUAUCGAACAGGAUUAGAUACCCGGGUAGUC